rnacentral:rRNA from 1 species
UACAGAGGUCUCAAGCGUUGUUCGGAUUCAUUGGGCGUAAAGGGUGCGUAGGCGGCGCGGUAAGUCGGGUGUGAAAUCCCUCAGCUUAACUGAGGAAGUGCGCCCGAAACUGCCGAGCUUGAGUACCGGAGAGGGUGGCGGAAUUCCCCAAGUAGAGGUGAAAUUCGUAGAUAUGGGGAGGAACACCGGUGGCGAAGGCGGCCACCUGGACGGAUACUGACGCUGAGACGCGAAAGCGUGGGGAGCAAACAGG